rnacentral:rRNA from 1 species
ACUUACCAAACCGAUGCAAACUCCGAAUACCUACAAGUGCCGAGCAUGGGAGACACACGGCGGGUGCUAACGUCCGUCGUGAAGAGGGAAACAACCCAGACCGCCAGCUAAGGUCCCAAAGUCAUGGUUAAGUGGGAAACGAUGUGGGAAGGCUUAGACAGCUAGGAGGUUGGCUUAGAAGCAGCCACCCUUUAAAGAAAGCGUAAUAGCUCACUAGUCGAGUCGGCCUGCGCGGAAGAUGUAACGGGGCUAAAACUAUGUGCCGAAGCUGCGGAUUUGACAUUAGUCAAGUGGUAGGGGAGCGUUCUGUAAGCCGAUGAAGGUGUAUUGAGAAGUAUGCUGGAGGUAUCAGAAGUGCGAAUGCUGACGUGAGUAACGACAAAACGGGUGAAAAACCCGUUCGCUGAAAGACCAAGGGUUCCAGUCCAACGUUAAUCGGGGCUGGGUGAGUCGACCCCUAAGGCGAGGCCGAGAGGCGUAGUCGAUGGGAAAUUGGUUAAUAUUCCAAUACUUCUGUGUAAUGCGAUGAGAGGACGGAGAAGGUUAAGUCAGCCUGGCGUUGGUUGUCCAGGUGGAAGACAGUAGGCAUGCAUCUUAGGCAAAUCCGGGGUGCUCUAUGCUGAGAGUUGAUAGCAAGCUGUACUUGUACAGUGAAGUGGCUGAUACCAUGCUUCCAGGAAAAGUCUCUAAGCUUCAGUUACACAGGAAUCGUACCCGAAACCGACACAGGUGGUCAGGUCGAGUAGACCAAAGCGCUUGAGAGAACUCUGCUGAAGGAACUAGGCAAAAUGGUACCGUAACUUCGGGAGAAGGUACGCUGCUGACGGUGAUGGGACUUGCUCCCUGAGCUAUUGGCAGCCACAGAAACCAGGCCGCUGCAACUGUUUAUUAAAAACAUAGCACUCUGCAAACACGAAAGUGGACGUAUAGGGUGUGAUGCCUGCCCGGUGCUGGAAGGUUAAUUGAUGGGGUUAGCGUAAGCGAAGCUCUUGAUCGAAGCCCCAGUAAACGGCGGCCGUAACAAUAACGGUCCUAAGGUAGCGAAAUUCCUUGUCGGGUAAGUUCCGACCUGCACGAAUGGCGUAACGAUGGCGGCGCUGUCUCCACCCGAGACUCAGUGAAAUUGAAAUCGCUGUGAAGAUGCAGUGUAUCCGCGGCUAGACGGAAAGACCCCGUGAACCUUUACUGCAGCUUGACAUUGAACUUUGACCUUACUUGUGUAGGAUAGGUGGGAGGCUUUGAAGUUGGAACGCUAGUUCCAAUGGAGCCGUCCUUGAAAUACCACCCUGGUAAUGUUGAGGUUCUAACUCUGUCCCGUUAUCCGGGACGAGGACCAUGUCUGGUGGGUAGUUUGACUGGGGCGGUCUCCUCCUAAAGAGUAACGGAGGAGUACGAAGGUGCGCUCAGACCGGUCGGAAAUCGGUCGUAGAGUAUAAAGGCAAAAGCGCGCUUGACUGCGAGACAGACACGUCGAGCAGGUACGAAAGUAGGUCUUAGUGAUCCGGUGGUUCUGUAUGGAAGGGCCAUCGCUCAACGGAUAAAAGGUACUCUGGGGAUAACAGGCUGAUACCGCCCAAGAGUUCAUAUCGACGGCGGUGUUUGGCACCUCGAUGUCGGCUCAUCUCAUCCUGGGGCUGAAGCAGGUCCCAAGGGUAUGGCUGUUCGCCAUUUAAAGAGGUACGCGAGCUGGGUUUAGAACGUCGUGAGACAGUUCGGUCCCUAUCUACCGUGGGCGCUGGAAAUUUGAGAGGAUCUGCUCCUAGUACGAGAGGACCAGAGUGGACGAACCUCUGGUGUACCGGUUGUGACGCCAGUCGCAUCGCCGGGUAGCUAUGUUCGGAAGGGAUAACCGCUGAAAGCAUCUAAGCGGGAAGCC